UACGAAGGGUGCAAGCGUUACUCGGAAUUACUGGGCGUAAAGCGUGCGUAGGCGGUCUGUCGCGUCGGUAGUGAAAACUCAGGGCUUAACCCUGAGCCUGCUUCCGAUACGGGCAGACUAGAGGUAUGCAGGGGAGAAUGGAAUUCCUGGUGUAGCGGUGAAAUGCGCAGAUAUCAGGAGGAACACCGGUGGCGAAGGCGGGUUGCUGGGCUGACACUGACGCUGAAGCGCGAAAGCUAGGGGAGCGAACGGG
rnacentral:rRNA from 1 species